rnacentral:rRNA from 1 species
CCUACGGGAGGCAGCAGUGGGGAAUAUUGGACAAUGGGGGCAACCCUGAUCCAGCCAUGCCGCGUGUGUGAAGAAGGCCCUCGGGUUGUAAAGCACUUUCAGUGAGGAAGAACGCCUGGUGGUUAAUACCCAUCAGGAAAGACAUCACUCACAGAAGAAGCACCGGCUAACUCCGUGCCAGCAGUCGCGGUAAUACGGAGGGUGCGAGCGUUAAUCGGAAUUACUGGGCGUAAAGCGCGCGUAGGUGGCUUGAUAAGCCGGUUGUGAAAGCCCCGGGCUCAACCUGGGAACGGCAUCCGGAACUGUCAAGCUAGAGUGCAGGAGAGGAAGGUAGAAUUCCCGGUGUAGCGGUGAAAUGCGUAGAGAUCGGGAGGAAUACCAGUGGCGAAGGCGGCCUUCUGGACUGACACUGACACUGAGGUGCGAAAGCGUGGGUAGCAAACAGGAUUAGAUACCCUGGUAGUC